rnacentral:rRNA from 1 species
GGACAAGUGAAUAAGUGCACAUGGUGGAUGCCUUGGCGAUUACAGGCGAUGAAGGACGUAGUAGCUUGCGAUAAGCUGCGGGGAGCUGGCAAACGAGCUUUGAUCCGCAGAUUUCCGAAUGGGGAAACCCGGCCUUUUAGGUCAUCUCAUACUGAAUACAUAGGUAUGUGAAGCGAACGCGGCGAACUGAAACAUCUAAGUAGCUGCAGGAAAAGAAAUCAACCGAGAUUCCCAAAGUAGUGGCGAGCGAAAUGGGAUGAGCCUUGUACGUGAUAGUCGAUCGGAUAGUGGAAUGCUCUGGAAAUGGCAGCCAUAGCGGGUGAUAGCCCCGUACACGAAAUCCGGANUGAAGGACGUAGUAGCUUGCGAUAAGCUGCGGGGAGCUGGCAAACGAGCUUUGAUCCGCAGAUUUCCGAAUGGGGAAACCCGGCCUUUUAGGUCAUCUCAUACUGAAUACAUAGGUAUGUGAAGCGAACGCGGCGAACUGAAACAUCUAAGUAGCUGCAGGAAAAGAAAUCAACCGAGAUUCCCAAAGUAGUGGCGAGCGAAAUGGGAUGAGCCUUGUACGUGAUAGUCGGAUUGAUAGUGGAAGCCUUUGGAAACAGGCGCCAUAGUGGGUGAUAGCCCCGUACACGAAAUCAGACCGGUGAUACUAAGCGUACGACAAGUAGGGCGGGACACGAGAAAUCCUGUCUGAAGAUGGGGGGACCAUCCUCCAAGGCUAAAUACUCGUAAUCGACCGAUAGUGAACCAGUACCGUGAGGGAAAGGCGAAAAGAACCCCGGGAGGGGAGUGAAAUAGAUCCUGAAACCGUGUGCAUACAAACAGUCGGAGCCUCUUCGUGGGGUGACGGCGUACCUUUUGUAUAAUGGGUCAGCGACUUACAUUCAGUGGCGAGGUUAACCAGAUCGGGGAGCCGUAGAGAAAUCGAGUCCGAAUAGGGCGACAGUCGCUGGGUGUAGACCCGAAACCAGGUGAUCUACCCAUGGCCAGGAUGAAGGUGCGGUAACACGCCCUGGAGGUCCGAACCCACUAAUGUUGAAAAAUUAGGGGAUGAGCUGUGGGUAGGGGUGAAAGGCUAAACAAACCUGGAAAUAGCUGGUUCUCUCCGAAAACUAUUUAGGUAGUGCCUCAAGUAUCACCAUCGGGGGUAGAGCACUGUUAUGGCUAGGGGGUCAUUGCGACUUACCAAACCAUUGCAAACUCCGAAUACCGAUGAGUGCGAGCUUGGGAGACAGACGUCGGGUGCUAACGUCCGGCGUCAAGAGGGAAACAACCCAGACCGCCAGCUAAGGUCCCAAAGAUUGGCUAAGUGGAAAACGAAGUGGGAAGGCUAAAACAGUCAGGAUGUUGGCUUAGAAGCAGCCAUCAUUUAAAGAAAGCGUAAUAGCUCACUGAUCGAGUCGUCCUGCGCGGAAGAUGUAACGGGGCUAAGCCAGUCACCGAAGCUGCGGAUAUUUUUCUCUUUGCUUGCAUCGAGAUCANAAGAUGUAACGGGGCUAAGCCAGUCACCGAAGCUGCGGAUAUGUCUUUGACAUAUGGUAGGAGAGCGUUCUGUAAGCCUGCGAAGGUGUCUCGUAAGGGAUGCUGGAGGUAUCAGAAGUGCGAAUGCUGACAUGAGUAGCGAUAAAGAGGGUGAAAAGCCCUCUCGCCGAAAGCCCAAGGUUUCCUGUUCAACGUUCAUCGGAGCAGGGUGAGUCGGCCCCUAAGGCGAGGCAGAGAUGCGUAGCUGAUGGGAAGCAGGUUAAUAUUCCUGCACCGUCGUAUGAUGCGAUGGGGGGACGGAUCGCGGAAGGUUGUCCAACUGUUGGAAUAGUUGGUUUUUGACUCAUAGAAGGUGCUUAGGCAAAUCCGGGCACGUGAUUCAAGGGGUCGAGACGAGCGGCUUUAUGCUGCGAAGCAAUCGGAAGUGGUUCCAAGAAAAGCCUCUAAGCUUCAGUCAUACGAGACCGUACCGCAAACCGACACAGGUGGGCGAGAUGAGUAUUCUAAGGCGCUUGAGAGAACUCGGGAGAAGGAACUCGGCAAAUUGGUACCGUAACUUCGGGAUAAGGUACGCCCCGGUAGCUUGACUGCUUUACUGCAGAAGGGUGAAAGGGUUGCAAUAAACUGGUGGCUGCGACUGUUUAAUAAAAACACAGCACUCUGCAAACACGAAAGUGGACGUAUAGGGUGUGACGCCUGCCCGGUGCUGGAAGAUUAAAUGAUGGGGUGCAAGCUCUUGAUUGAAGUCCCAGUAAACGGCGGCCGUAACUAUAACGGUCCUAAGGUAGCGAAAUUCCUUGUCGGGUAAGUUCCGACC